rnacentral:rRNA from 1 species
AUUGAACGCUGGCGGAAUGCUUUACACAUGCGAGUCGAACGGUAGAGGGGGCAACCCCUCGAGAGUGGCGAACGGGUGAGUAAUAUAUCGGAACGUGCCCAGUCGUGGGGGAUAACGUAGCGAAAGUUACGCUAAUACCGCAUACGAUACAAGGAGGAAAGAGGGGGAUCGCAAGACCUCGGGCCAUUGGAGCGGCAGAUAUCAGAUUAGGUAGUUGGUUGGGUAAAGGCUCACCAAGCCAACGAUCUGUAGCUGGUCUGAGAGGACGACCAGCCACACUGGAACUGAGACACGGUCCAGACUCCUACGGGAGGCAGCAGUGGGGAAUUUUGGACAAUGGACGCAAGUCUGAUCCAGCCAUUCCGCGUGCAGGAUGAAGGCCCUCGGGUUGUAAACUGCUUUUGUACGGAACGAAAAGGUCUCUCUUAAUACGGGGGACUCAUGACGGUACCGUAAGAAUAAGCACCGGCUAACUACGUGCCAGCAGCCGCCGUAA